rnacentral:rRNA from 1 species
UAAGCAGAUAGCGAAAUUGUGUGGCUCAACCAUACACCCAUUAUCUGAACUGCUAAGCUAGAGGGCGAGAGGGGUAGCUAGAAUUCCUUGUGUAGGAGUGAAAUCCGUAGAUAUAAGGAGGAAUACCGAUGGCGUAGGCAGGCUACUGGCUCGUCCCUGACACUAAGGCACGAAAGCGUGGGAGCGACCGGGAUUAGAUACCCGGGUAGUCCACGCCGUAAACGAUGGAUGCUA